GGAAAUUACCGAACGCUUUCGGCCGAAGAGACUGGCGUGAGUUAGCAAUUCUCGCGCGAGGCGCCAGCUAAAGGUUCGCGAGGGUCUGGAAAGUUAUGGAAUCCCUUGGCCACACACCUUGGACUUCUUAUCCGCCCCACCAAGUCUAGUGGACACCAGCCACCCAUGAAAGAAGCCUUUUGCUCUCAAUAGUGGAGAAAUAGACCAAUACAGGACCUAUAUACGUGAAUGCAAAAAGACCACAAAGAAGAAACAUGACUUUUAUUUUAGAGAAAAACAUUCCAACUGCCUUGUGAAGAGUUUUCUUGGGAAAACCAUCUACCAAAAAACCCAGCAUAUUAGCUUUAUAUCUGAAACGUACACACUUGCAUUUUAAGAAACAUCUGUUCAAAUUCCAACAAACAAUAUACAGCUUUGCCCUUCUAUUUUGAAAAUGAACAACUCAUUCCUAUUUUCAAAUAAGCAUGCUUAGGAUCCUGUCCUUGCAGUUCUGCUGCUGUAAUGCUGCCCAACUAAAGGCCUUUUACUAUGUAAUUGUUUUCCCCACAAAAAAAGGAAGCCAGGACAGAUCGUGAUGAGUGCUCACUGGAAGGACAGAUCGUGAAGCUUAGACUCCAAUACUUUGGCCACCUCAUGAGAAGAGAAGACUCCCUGUAAAAGACCCUGAUG